UACGUAGGGUGCGAGCGUUAAUCGGAAUUACUGGGCGUAAAGCGUGCGUAGGCGGUUCGUUAAGUCAGCUGUGAAAGCCCCGGGCUCAACCUGGGAACUGCGGUUGAAACUGGCGAACUAGAAUCUGGCAGAGGGGGGUGGAAUUCCACGUGUAGCAGUGAAAUGCGUAGAGAUGUGGAGGAACACCGAUGGCGAAGGCAGCCCCCUGGGCUAGCACUGACGCUCAGGCACGAAAGCGUGGGGAGCAAACAGG
rnacentral:rRNA from 1 species